rnacentral:rRNA from 1 species
UACGUAGGGACCGAGCGUUGUCCGGAUUUAUUGGGCGUAAAGAGCGUGUAGGCGGUUUGGUAGGUCCGCUGUGAAAACUCGAGGCUCAACCUCGAGACGCCGGUGGAAACCAUCAGGCUAGAGUCCGGAAGAGGAGAGUGGAAUUCCUGGUGUAGCGGUGAAAUGCGCAGAUAUCAGGAAGAACACCCGUGGCUAAGGCGGCUCUCUAGUACGGUACUGACGCUGAGACGCGAAAGCGUGGGGAGCGAACAGG